UACAGAGGCCUCGAGCGUUAGGCGGAAUCACUGGGCUUAAAGCGUGUGUAGGUGGAUGCCUAAGUACCUUGUGAAAUCCCACGGCUUAACCGUGGAAUUGCUUGGUAUACUGGGUGUCUUGAGCCACUCAGGGGCGAGCGGAACAAACGGUGGAGCGGUGAAAUGCGUAGAUAUCGGAAGGAACACCGGUGGCGAAAGCGGCGCGCUGGACCUCUUCUGACGCUGAGGCGCGAAAGCCAGGGGAGCGAACGGG
rnacentral:rRNA from 1 species